UGUCGACAUAACCGGAUUGGCAUUGGCAGUUUGGCACCCACAUGAAUCAUGAUACGUAGAAACUCACACAGCUUGACACUUCCCUAGUUGCUCAUCCAUCAUCAUUCAUGAAACAAACUUUUGAAGUUUGAACUCGUUCUUCCAAUUGCACACCUCCAUCUCUCCACAGAACACACAAAUCAUCAACAUACUCAUACAUAUAAAAGAUGCAGUGGCAAUGUCUUUCUCUCUCCUCUCCUCCUCCCACUUUUUUACCAAAUUCUCUCUCCUCUACUCUCCGACUUCGUCACUCUCAUUUCGCUUCUCACUCCUCUAUCAACUUUAAUCAACUCAGAUUGCCGCUCAAUUAUCAUAAAUCGAUGCCGAAUCACAGCAGCCGACGAUCGUCUAGAGUUGUUUGUCAAGCGUAUUCUGCAAUUCUCUCUCCUCGAAAUCUUCCAUGGAUUUCUGCUGUUUCUACUGCGAUUCUCAUGCUUGUGAAGGGGACGGCGAUAAAUAGGUCCUUUCUUGUGCCUUUAUUUGCUUUACAGGCACCUGCAAGUGUCAUCUCAUGGAUGCAGGGAGAAUAUGGUGCUUGGUCUGCUUUUCUGGCCCUCCUUGUUCGCCUCUUCUUCUUUAUUCCAGGUGAGCUGGAGCUCCCUUUUGUUACAUUAGUUCUGGUAAUUGUUGCUCCACAUCGCGCCUUGAACGUAAGGGGGACACAGGCAGGAACCGUUAUAUCUUUAGUAAUUGCAGCCUAUUUGGCUUUCCUGCAUUUUACAAAGGCUGGAGGUUUGCAGAAAUCUUUUGAUCAAGGUUCUAUUGUUGCAACUUUAGCCAUCAUCUGCAUCACCAUUGUGCCAUGUGUGCUAUUAGUUUGAUUCUAGUGUAGUUCAAAUUUGUCGACGUCAUGUAUCUUGUUGAAGAAUGUAAAUGAAGAUCAAUCACUCAGCCUAAGAAGAACUAUGUAUUAUGGAAGUCGUGAAGGAGUCUCCUGAUAGAAUUGACGACCUGAAAGCUGAAGCUCAUCUGUCAAGAGUAGUGCCUCUGGACAACUUCGAUUGUACAGUGAAGCUUGUGUAUACUGCUUUGCACUGGAAAAAAAGUAUAUGCUUCCUAUAUUUUCUCAUAAUUGGUUUGCUAGUAGAAUGUACAUGAUUAUGCUUGUUGAACUGAAGAAGAUAACCCAUUCUUGAGAGGUAGCAGUGGCCAUAUUAGGGCUUCCUGUUGGCUCUGGCCCAUACCCUGAUGCUCCACCAAGAGGUGGAAAAUUUUGAUUUGAUGGACUUGGUGGACUGAAUGUGGUUGGUGGUGUCUGCAUGGGCGGGGUUGGAGUUGUAGGUGGACUCAUUGGCGUUGUGCUGUAAGAAGAAUAAAAAUUACAACUCUGCUUUUAAUUGAGACAUGAAAAUUUGAAACUACGGUUGAAUGCUUACCUCGUUGAUCCUUUUGAUGUAUAGCGACAACUUCCAGAGCCUGCAAUAGGAACAAGAUAUGGCUCUCAUUUCAAGUACUUCUCUUAGGACAAGCUGUUUCAGCCUCUCAUUUCAUAUACUUCUCUCAGGACAUGCAAUGAUGUUGGAUUUCGAGAUCUGAAUAUAAGUACGAACAAUUUCUCUAUCUAUUCUAUUUCAUUGUGCCAGUAUUCCUCCAUGAUAAAGAAAAAAUAUUUUGAUCAUUGACAAUUUUCUCAUAUUAUUAUUUGUAAACUCGAAAGUGGGCUUACUUGGAUCUGUGUUGACAAGCUGGGCAGUUCCUCCAAAAUCACAGCUGGUUGGAGCUGGGUUCUUCUGGUAAUAAUCGUUGUAAGCAUAAGAAGCAUGAUCCUUUACUGUGUUUGGAUUGUAACAGCUUCCUCCUGAUUGAAGUACAGAGCAGUCAGUUCCUCCAUAUCCACAUGCAUAAUCCAAACCAACUUGCAGAGCCUUUUCUGAAGCACUUGGCUUUGCCACGCACCAAGGGCCUCCUCCUCCUCCCCCACCUCCUCCUCCUCCUCCUCCUCCUCCUCCCCCUCCUACUCCUCCCCCUCCUACUCCUCCCCCUCCUCCUGUGUUUCCUCCUCCACCUCCUGCAUCUCCUCCUCCCCCUCCUACGUUUCCUCCGCCUCCAACUCCUCCUCCUCCCCCUACGUUUCCUCCUCCCCCUCCUGCGUCUCCACCUCCUCCUACGUUUCCUCCUCCCCCUCCUGCGUCUCCACCUCCUCCUCCUGCAUCUCCACCUCCUCCUACGUUUCCUCCUCCCCCUCCUGCAUCUCCACCUCCUCCUACGUUUCCUCCUCCCCCUCCUGCAUCUCCACCUCCUCCUACGUUUCCUCCUCCCCCUCCUAUGCCACCUCCCGAUGGUGGUGUAGGAUUCAUGGGUGGUGUGGUUGUUGGUGUGGUCGGAGUUGUGGUUGGUAUACUAGGUGGCAUCGGAGUUGUAGAGGGAGUAGUUGUCGGGGUGGUGGUUGGAGUCGGAUCAAAAGUUGGAACGUCAUCCAAUGUAUUGUCUGGUGGAACAUCUGUUGGAAAGGUGUCAUGCAUGAUCAUUGUUGGAUAAGUGCUAUAUAUCUGAGAUUGUUUUGUUGCUUCAGCACUCGACCCUGAAAAUGUUAAAAUCAUAAAUGAUGCAGCAGCAGCAGCAGCAGCAGCAGCAGUAACAGCAACAGUAGCAGCAAAGUCUUGCAAAAUAACAGAAACCGUGAUGAUGUUUGUGUGUGCAAAGAAGAGUGUGUCAUACUUGGCUUCAUUUAUUAUAGAGGUUACAGUGAGAAUCUUGAUAGAAUCAGUGCUUUUCCUGGCUGAAAAAGAGAGAGAAAGGAGUAGGGGAAAGGAAUAUAAGCAAAACUUGAAAGAGGAGGCAAUGGUAUUACUUGGAAUUUGGAGAUCGCAAGCUAAGUUCAGGUGGCAUAAAAGGUAGAAAAGUUAACAUGGGAAUAAAAGGGAAGAAAAGAUUGAUCUGUUUGGGAUUUGAAUCUUUGUUUCUUUGGGUUUUUCCUAUGUAAACUUGAUGUACAUGUUUUAGUUCAUUCUGUCAACUUUGUUUUCUUUUUCUCUUGCUAAACUGUCAUAGGACUAAAUCAAAAGGUGGAUAUUGUUUAUAACCUCUA